GGGGGACGGGGCUGAGCUGCCUGGGAGCCCCAGAAGCGGCAGCCUGGGGCCGCGGGGCCGGGCGAUGUCCCAUCCCGCGUGCGCAGGGACCGAGGAGCAGAAUCGGUCUGUGAGUUGUCGGCAGUUCAGGGGCUGCAGCCUCUUCACACACAGUCACUUUGUGAACUUCAGAGCAGCCCAGGAUCUACCGUGGCCCUUCCCCGAGGUCCCGCCUCGCUCUCACCAUCCCCCUUCCUCCAUUGCUCCCUCGCUCUCCCUGACCUUCGCCCACUUUCACCAGGCGGGAGGGGUGCAGGCUCUGGGCUGGAUUAACAUGGGGGCAAGUAAAAUCAGGACUUGUCCCUGUGGGGAGGGGGUUUCAGUUGCUAAAGGUAGGGGGAGCCUUCAGUCUCUGGCUGAUUGUCUCUUUCUCUCUCUCUCCUCAGGAUAUUGGGGUUGAGUUUCCUGGGUGAGAUGCUGCUGAUUCAGAAAAGAUCGCUUCUUCAGAUAAAGAAUAUUUCUUCUCCCAACCCACCCUGCCUCAUACCUACAGUACCCCGCUUCAACAAGAGAGUUCAGUGGUGUGAAAAGAAUGGAACACGACAACAGCGAAGACGACGACAGCAGAGACACCUCCAAAGAAAUACCCUAGAGCCCUUGGGCCAUCACGCUUCAGGAAUGUCCGUGAGGUACUAGGAGACCUGGAGAUGAGGGGUGCCCUGCUGGCCGUAGCCACUUUCGAUCUCCUGGCUUCUACCCCCUACCCUGUUGUCAGGGCAUUGUGCAGCACCCUUUCUAGCCCACCUGGGUGCAGGAGAUGGAGGAAGAGAGCAUCUGCCAUCCAGCUCCAUCCCAUCUAGAGCAAAGACCCCCAGUGCCCAGCAGGAGUGGGCUGAGGAGGAGGAAGAGAAGUAGGUUGAGGAGGCGGAGGAGGAAGAAGAGAAGGAGGAGGAGAAUGUGUCCCUUGAACAAGACACCAUCAGGGUCAUCCAGGACACCUCCAGGGCAGAGUUGAGGAGCUGAUUGAAAAUCUGCCCGUGGUGCCAGAGCCAACCUCCAUCAUCUCCAGCUCCAUGGCCGCAGUUUGCAGCCUCAGCAAACUGAAGCCGCUGCUUGCCCUGGAGCUGGAAUCACACCUCCUGCGGGCUCUUCUUUAAACCAUCUUCACCAUGGGCACUGGGCAGGAUACCACCUACUUCCAGGCUCUGCACAACACCUAUUUACAGAGCCUGGACGCCAUGGUCGGGGGCCUGCUCACCGAGACCCCCCCCCGCCAGACAAGCUGCAGCACGUCUUGGAGGAGCCUGCUGUCCUGGGGCCAGUCGUGGCACCACAAAUCUUCUGCCUCGUGUAUGGUCAGCCCUGGAAGAGAGAGAGAGAGAGAGAGAGACACUUUGAUCCUUCUGGCUGCAGUUUCGGUGUCCUUCCAAUCCCGUUGGUGGCUGCACAGUGGAGUGGAGAAGAACAGAGGCAGAGAGAGACUUGUCCUCCAGCUGGGGUCAGACUGAGAGAAAUUGUCUGGGGUCCCAUUAUCCACCUGCAGUCACUCUCAGUCCCCUAUUGGGUUCUGUGUGCCAGCAGGUUCCUUACCCCUCUGUUGGAGCAGCAGCUGGUACAGCCGGUAAGUCCCCUCCCUGGCCUGCCGGCUGAUGUCCUUGUCUAGGUCACUGACAAACAGACCCAGCUGGGCCACGUGGUGAUCCAUCCUAGGGAACUCUGCUGAGAUCUAAUGGAAGGGAGAGGAGAGAAGACUCCAUCAGCAGUUUCCUGUCAGCUCCCUGUCUCCCCUGGGCCAGAAGGCUCCUUCCCCUUAUCCCCUCUGAAGGAGAUACUGGGAGAGAGGAGCCUGAGAUAGACCCUUCAUUUGCUCUGCUGCCAAGGGAGCCAGCAGCUGCUUUGGGAUGCCAAGCAGGGGCUGGAGCAUGAUCCCCUUAUAGGCCCAGGGACAACACUUGACCAGGACAAGAAGAACUUGGCUCAAGCCUAUCCCUGCUCUUACUCUGCCUCCCCAAGAGGAACACUCCGAACCUAUAGCCCCUGCAGCUGCAGCAGCAACAGAUCCUACAGCCCGUUGGAGCCAGUCCGCCUACACCUGGAAUCAGGAAGCUGGGCUCAGAGGUCACUUACGUCAGACUCAGGGAGGGUGACUGCAUAUCUGAGCAGGGCCGUGCUGCUCCUAAUGGCCUUGGCUGUCUCCUGGGACACCCUGGCCACCAUC